UCACCUUUUCUUGCCCAUCCCGCCUAUAUACCGCCGUCCUCCCAGUCCUACCCUGUAAAGGACCCAUAGUAGGCGAAAUUCGGUACAGCCCCAGACGACAGGUCGAGGUGUAGCGUAUGAAAAGGGAAGAGAUGGGCUACAUUCAAUGAAACACUGAAUACGGAGAGCUAAUUGAAAUAUUAACUUGAAGGAGGAUUUAGCAGUAAGUGGAGAAUAGAGAGCCCCACUGAAAUCGGCCCUGAAGCGUGUACACACCGCCCGUCACUCUCCCCGAGCAGAGAAACUCUUUACCUAAAAAGCCAGAAAAUGUAAAGGGGAGGCAAGUCGUAACAUGGUAAGUGUACCGGAAGGUGCACUUGGCUAAAAAUAC
rnacentral:rRNA from 1 species